AAACUCACCAGGUCAGGACACGGUAAGGAUUGACGGACUGAAGGCUCUUUCUCGAUUCCGUGGAAAGUGGUGCAUGGCCGUUUUUGGUUGGUGGAUCGAUCCGUCUGGUUAAUUCCGUUAACGAACGAGACCUCGGCACUCCGAAUAGCGCGGCGGACGUCGCGGCCUCCGGGCCGUCUUCCGCACGAGCUUCUUAGAGGGACCGUCCCCCGCCGGGGAAGGAGGUGCGAGGCAACGACAGGUCUGUGAUGCCCUUAGAUGUUCUGGGCCGCACGCGCAUUACACUGACGCGUCCAACGGGUGACUCCCGACCCGAAGGGGCCGGGGAAUCCGCAAGGCGCGUCGUGAUGGGGAUUGAACGUUGCAAUUGUUGUUCACGAACGAGGAAUUCCUAGUAGGCGCGGGUCAUCAACCCGCGCCGAUUACGUCCCUGCCCUUUGUACAC
rnacentral:rRNA from 1 species